UACGAAGGGGGCUAGCGUUGUUCGGAAUUACUGGGCGUAAAGGGCGCGUAGGCGGUGUGUCAAGUCAGGCGUGAAAGCCCCGGGCUCAACCUGGGAACAGCGCUUGAGACUGGCACGCUCGAGUUCGGGAGAGGAUGGUGGAAUUCCCAGUGUAGAGGUGGAACUCGUAGAUAUUGGGAAGAACACCGAUGGCGAAGGCAGCCAUCUGGACCGACACUGACGCUGAGGCGCGAAAGCGUGGGGAGCAAACAGG
rnacentral:rRNA from 1 species